GACGAACGCUGGCGGCGUGCUUAACACAUGCAAGUCGAACGGAAAGGCCCUGCUUUUGUGGGGUGCUCGAGUGGCGAACGGGUGAGUAACACGUGAGUAACCUGCCCUUGACUUUGGGAUAACUUCAGGAAACUGGGGCUAAUACCGGAUAGGAGCUCCUGCUGCAUGGUGGGGGUUGGAAAGUUUCGGCGGUUGGGGAUGGACUCGCGGCUUAUCAGCUUGUUGGUGGGGUAGUGGCUUACCAAGGCUUUGACGGGUAGCCGGCCUGAGAGGGUGACCGGCCACAUUGGGACUGAGAUACGGCACAGACUCCUACGGGAGGCAACAGUGGGGAAUAUUGCACAAUGGGAGGAAGCCUGAUGCAGCAACGCCGCGUGCGGGAUGACGGCCUUCGGGUUGUAAACCGCUUUCGCCUGUGACGAAGCGUGAGUGACGGUAAUGGGUAAAGAAGCACCGGCUAACUACGUG
rnacentral:rRNA from 1 species